UUACUUUACAGGAAAGCAGUUUCCACUGGAGUGUGUCCAAGCCGGCAUCUGGCACCUGGGAAAGUGAGAGUCCGAACACACUGCACGUGAAAUAUAAAUACAAUUUGGAGAAUUGUUGGUGCAGCAUGCCUUGGGGAGAAGCCAAAGCCUGCAGCUGCCUUUCAAAGGGGUGUGGCAGGAGGGGGGGGGUUUGCAAUGGAAAUGAUUCCAAACUCAUAAUUCCAGCGGGUGUUUGAUGCUAGAAGCCCAACAAGACUCAUUUGGCUUCUUGUAAAGAAUUAGUCAACGUCCUCUGGCCUGAAAGAGGCUUCCACGGGAAUGAAUGAGACACACCCACAGCGGGGAGGCUACUGGCUUUAAUCAGUCCACCGAUCCAACUCAUAUAUUAAUCUGAUGCAGGAGACUCUUCACAGCAAUACCCAGAAUCAAGCUGAACCAAUGAGUGGAGAACUCCAAGAACGACACAAAUGACUCAUAAAGUCAACCGUCACUUGUCUGCCCUUGGUCAUCGCAGCACCCAC
rnacentral:lncRNA from 1 species